rnacentral:rRNA from 1 species
AGGACGAACGCUGGCGGCGUGCUUAACACAUGCAAGUCGAGCGGUAAGGCCCUUCGGGGUACACGAGCGGCGAACGGGUGAGUAACACGUGGGUGAUCUGCCCUGCACUCUGGGAUAAGCCUGGGAAACUGGGUCUAAUACUGGAUAUGACCUGUCCUCGCAUGGGGGUGGGUGGAAAGAUUUAUCGGUGCAGGAUGGGCCCGCGGCCUAUCAGCUUGUUGGUGGGGUAAUGGCCCACCAAGGCGACGACGGGUAGCCGACCUGAGAGGGUGACCGGCCACACUGGGACUGAGACACGGCCCAGACUCCUACGGGAGGCAGCAGUGGGGAAUAUUGCACAAUGGGCGAAAGCCUGAUGCAGCGACGCCGCGUGAGGGAUGAAGGCCUUCGGGUUGUAAACCUCUUUCAGCAGGGACGAAGCGAAAGUGACGGUACCUGCAGAAGAAGCACCGGCUAACUACGUGCCAGC